AGGCAGGCCCAGCGCUGGCCUUCGGAGCGUGGGGGAGGCUGGCAAGCGGCUGCCUCCCGGUGCCCGACAUUUUCCGUGUCAGUUUCAGUUUGCAAGGGCUGCCAUAAUAGAAGGUCACAGACUGAGUGGCUUAAAACAACAGAAAUUUAGCCUCCCACCAUUCUGGAGUUGAAAGUCAAGGUGUCCGCAGGUUUGGUUCCUUCGUAGGGGCUCUGAGGGACAGUGUGUUCUGUGCUGCUGUCCUGGCUUCUGAUGGUGGCAGGUAAUCCUUGGCGGCCCUUGGCUUGAAGACACCACCUCACUCCAAUCUCCCUCUUGUAUUUGAACGUGUCCUUCCCGUGCGUGUCUCUGUGUCCUCACUCAGCCUUCUUGUAAGGACACGGGUCACUGGAUUUAGGGCCCACCCUCAUCGAGGGUGACCCAAUUUUACUGAAUUACACCUGUUUUACUGAAUAAGACCCUGUUUUGAAACAAGGUCACAUUCUGCAGUUCUGGGUGGAUAUGGCAUUGGGGCAGGGGACACUGUUCUAUCCAGUCCAUCGAUGGUGAAACAUUCCACAUUCUAGUGUUAUCCCUGCGGGAUUAUAAAUCCCUUUACAGUGAGAAAUAAAGACAAGGGAAGAAAGUCAAGAAAAGAAAGGCUUUGAACCUGAACUCUGCCUAAAUACAUGUCACUAGAAUGUUGCAGAGAGCCGAGGAGAGCAUGGAUGAAGAUUUUGCUGAUUUCAUUGUUGCAAAGAACACCUUCUUUCCAGGAGAAAACAGCUCUAAGACUUGAAUAAUGAAAGCAAACCUCAUGAAAACCUAAGGGCUGGAUCACAGCCUAAUUUAGGCACGAAAACAGUAUAAUGACCAUAACCCUAUCUAUAAAAUUGUCUUUAAGAAGAAGGGCUCUUAAGGACAUGGGGAAAUGCUUAUGCUGUAAUAUUAAACAAAAAAAAAGCCAGGAUUUAGAUUUGUAUUAGCAACGUGAGCUCAACUAUGCAACAAAGAGGAAACACUCCCAGAAAGUCAGGCUGGUGCCAACUUCGAGAAUUUAAUCCAGGACACCACAUAAAUGUCUCCUUAGGCUCCUCUCAACUGUGAUAUUUCACAGACUUUCCUUGUUUUUGAUGACCUUGACAGUUCCGAGGAGCACUGGCCAGGCACACCCACUGGAAGGAGGCAGAGCUUCUGCUGUCUGGUCUAGGAGAUGAUUUUAAGCAGCUAAAGGUGAACCGGUGAAAGGGAGGCAGUCCAAGGAGCCAAGGAUGAUCACUGGAGUCCUCAGACUGGAGCAGGCAGCCCUGAGGCAAGCGGGCAGCAAGCCCCUGGGCAGUGGAGGUACCCUAGCGCUCAUCCAGCGCCCCCACCCUGGAAUGCUAACACACUCCCUCCCUGGCUUAUCCACCACAGGCCUAGCAUUUGGUGAUAACGAAACUACUAAUGAGAAGACACAUCCUCCCCUUUAGCCUCUGUCCAACACCUAGGCCACUUACCCCUCAAUACCAGGGCUCCUUUUACUGGUCAAUAAGUGGAGAGAUAGUAAUUGAAAAUAAGGAAGGGUGGACAGAAGUAUUGAUAGGACGGGAGGGGAAUUAGGAAGGUGACAUUGUCCAUGAAAUUCAGUAUUCGAUUGUAUAAAUUAUUAAUUAAUUCAAUAAUCAUUAUCUGCUGGAGACAGGCAGGAUGCAGUGUUAUAUGUUAUGCAGCAACAAAAAUGAAUGCAUGCUAUUUUUGUCCCUUUGAGCUUGUUUUCCUGAAAACUGGGAAUGCUUAAUAUACUCGCUCACAAAUGUACUAAAAUAAAUAAGAAGGUGUUCUGGUGCCCAGAGAUUUGGAAAGAACCUAACUGACUGACUAACUAACCUAAGGAACAGCGCAGCUUAUUCUUUUUCCUCACAAGGAAGAGCUGGGGAUUGGUAAAGAGCGUGGGGCCUACAGCAGGCUGCACAAUCCAACACCCUGACAUUCCUCAACAGGACACAAGGUCUAGUAAGAAAGAGCACGACAGUGGCUUUGGCGUUU